rnacentral:piRNA from 1 species
UGAAGGAAAACGGAACGGUGCUUCC